AGCUGUCCCGUGGGAACAGGGAACACUGUCUCAUGAGAACGAGGACUUGUUUUGUACAGAGUGACUGAGAAAAAUAUAAACAUCAAAGGAAAACGGGGACAGGUGCACAGAAAUGUUGUGAGAAAGAAGG